rnacentral:tRNA from 1 species
UCCUCGGUGGCUCAGCAGUAAAGAAUCUGCCUGCAAUGCAGGAGAUGCAGGUUCAAUCCCUGUGUGGGGAA